ensembl:lncRNA
AUUGCGGGAUCUGGGCCUGGCRUCGGGGCAGCGUGCCCCCCGCCCUUUGGCAUCGCUUCAAAGGACUUUGCCUGUGUCUUUGGCAGGUCCAGACGCUGAUGGCYCGAGCUGAGUACCUGAAAGAUCAGAUUAAGAUGCGGGAGGCGCAGUCCAUGGGCAAGGAAGCGCUGGCAGAGUCCGUCCGGAGCUGUGAGUACGGCGUCGGUCCUGCCCUGUCCCCAUCCUCCGUCGCUGGCCCCUCUCUCCUUGUCAGGAGCAGGGGAGGAGAGAGGGGGCUUCGCAACAGGGGUCUGGGAAGGUGCCCUCCCUCGGGGCCCUGGCUGGUUGUCCUGCUCGAUGGGAAACCCAGACUUUCUAAGGCUGUGGCUGUGCCUUUGCCAGUGAUAAAACAGAUGGAGCUGUCAGACACACAAGGCAGCCCUGCUGCAGUGCCAGGGAGGACAAAACGGGACGUCAUCCCCAGAUCUUUGAGGUCUUUGCCCCCCCGCUCCCGGGAGCCAUCCCUUUUCAGCCAUGAUCUCCGUCGCAGCUGGGGCAGGCAGGGAUUGGAGUUACGGUAGGAGGAUGUGAAGGGCUCAGACCGCCCCAUUUGAUGUGAAAAUCCUUCCCUGUGCCCUCAGAGCGAGGGGGAGYGUUUGUAUUAUGGUUAUUAUUUUAAUCCUACGUCUUCUCGGCAGUAAGCUCCCAAAGCCAGCGGGGCCGGGGAGGGCCAGGGGUUCCAGCACUGUCCCCCCRCAGCAGGCACGCUGCCACGGCCCGAGCCGCCCCCGUGAGCAGCUGCAGGGCUGUUCCUGCCCGUCGGUCRUCCUGGCCCCAAACAGCCUCCUCCCUUUCGAUUCGGGGUCAUCGGUGCCCAGGAGCCCUCAGUCUCUCCUGGGACAUCUGUCUUGCAAGCGUGGUGUGGUUUGCAGGUCUUUGCACGCGCUGUGUGUGUGUGUGGAGGGUCCGGGGCAGCUUGGGUUUGGGAAGAGCUCUGGAGAGCGUUUGACCACCGGAGAUGGAAGUUACCCCUCCUCGCCUAGCGGCUUUCCGCURGGGCUGUCUGGGGUGCGAGUCGCUUGCAAGCCUGUCGGUGGUGCGUUCUGGUUUUAGAGCAGCCUUUAACGUCCUUCCAAGAUCAGGGUGUGAUACUGUUCCCGGUGUGGAGCUGGUACUGUAACAGCGGUGGAGCAGCCUCGGAUGGGGGUCUCCUGUCCCCCCUCUGCCGGGAGGUCCCUUGGGCACAGGGCAGGGGGGAAGGAGCUGCCUGCUCGCUGCCCUUGAGUCCCGGUGCGAGAGCAGCCGUCGCAGCUCAGCCAGCUCUCCAAGAGGGCCCAAAGCAGUUGUCCAGAGAAGAGGAAUAGCAGGGCAGGGGUGGUGAGAUGCUUUUGUGCAAGUCCUACAGAAAUCUGUGUCCUGGAGGUUCCCUGAGAUGGUGCCUCUGAAUUGAACAGGCCUCAGUAGACCUUGACCCAUCAGUUUGUCCUGUCGCUUUUUGAACCACACACAUCACUAGCACCCGCACACGUGUCGUCACCCACGCCGUCCUGCGGCGGGGGGCCACAGCUCAGCUGCGCCGCG